rnacentral:rRNA from 1 species
GAUGAACGCUGGCGGCGUGCCUAAUACAUGCAAGUCGAGCGAACAGAUGAGGAGCUUGCUCCUCUGACGUUAGCGGCGGACGGGUGAGUAACACGUGGAUAACCUACCUAUAAGACUGGGAUAACUUCGGGAAACCGGAGCUAAUACCGGAUAAUAUAUUGAACCGCAUGGUUCAAUAGUGGAAGACGGUUUUGCUGUCACUUAUAGAUGGAUCCGCGCCGCAUUAGCUAGUUGGUAAGGUAGCGGCUUACCAAGGCAACGAUGCGUAGCCGACCUGAGAGGGUGAUCGGCCACACUGGAACUGAGACACGGUCCAGACUCCUACGGGAGGCAGCAGUAGGGAAUCUUCCGCAAUGGGCGAAAGCCUGACGGAGCAACGCCGCGUGAGUGAUGAAGGUCUUCGGAUCGUAAAACUCUGUUAUUAGGGAAGAACAAAUGUGUAAGUAACUAUGCACGUCUUGACGGUACCUAAUCAGAAAGCCACGGCUAACUACGUG